AUUGAACGCUGGCGGCAUGCCUUACACAUGCAAGUCGAACGGCAGCGCGGGAGCAAUCCUGGCGGCGAGUGGCGAACGGGUGAGUAAUACAUCGGAACGUGCCCAAUCGUGGGGGAUAACGCAGCGAAAGCUGUGCUAAUACCGCAUACGAUCUACGGAUGAAAGCGGGGGAUCGCAAGACCUUGCGCGCAUGGAGCGGCCGAUGGCAGAUUAGGUAGUUGGUGAGGUAAAGGCUCACCAAGCCUUCGAUCUGUAGCUGGUCUGAGAGGACGACCAGCCACACUGGGACUGAGACACGGCCCAGACUCCUACGGGAGGCAGCAGUGGGGAAUUUUGGACAAUGGGCGAAAGCCUGAUCCAGCCAUGCCGCGUGCAGGAUGAAGGCCUUCGGGUUGUAAACUGCUUUUGUACGGAACGAAACGGUCUUGUCUAAUAAAGAAGGCUAAUGACGGUACCGUAAGAAUAAGCACCGGCUAACUACGUG
rnacentral:rRNA from 1 species